CGCCUCUUGAAUAACUAUAAGAGGUCCAGCCUGCCCAGUGACUCUGUUCAACGGCCGCGGUAUCCUAACCGUGCGAAGGUAGCGUAAUCACUUGUUCUUUAAAUGAGGACUCGUAUGAAUGGCACCACGAGGGUUAUACUGUCUCCUUUUUCUAAUCAGUGAAACUAAUCUCCCCGUGAAGAAGCGGGGAUAAAAAUAUAAGACGAGAAGACCCUAUGGAGCUUUAAACUUUAUAACAAAUGCUAUACAUCUAAUAACCUUCAGAGCAUUAAACAACAUCCUAGCAUCAUGAUUAUUAGUUUUAGGUUGGGGUGACCGCGGAGCAAAAAUUAACCUCCACAUUGAACGGGACUAGACCCUGAGCAAAAAGCAACAACUUUAAGCACCAAUAAAUUGACAUUAAUUGACCCAAUAUUUUGAUCAACGAACCAAGUUACCCUAGGGAUAACAGCGCAAUCCACUUCAAGAGCUCCUAUCGACAAGUGGGUUUACGACCUCGAUGUUGGAUCAGGGUAUCCCAGUGGUGCAGCCGCUACUAAAGGUUCGUUUGUUCAACGAUUAAAACCCUACGUGAUCUGAGU
rnacentral:rRNA from 1 species